GAAAGGUGAAGAAGCCUCAGGGAAUGUGGCGGGUACAGCGGCUCGACUCACCUGCUUGCCGGCCCGCGGGUCCCGGGGUAGUUGGGGACGUUGGGGACGCUACCUGAGUGGGCAGGCUGAAACUCCCCGAUCGUGGCCAGGAGACAUAGAAGGAAUUCUGCAGGCCAUGCUCGGAAACUUCUUCAGCAGCAAAUCUGAUUCAGACUGAGUCAGGGAUCCUGCCUGAGGUUUCUCAGUAUCGCUGCACUGCAGCAUUUGAGUAAGAAGUCAGGUUUCCAACGACUCACCAGCGAACAUUCCUUUUGUGGGAAGACCACUGCUUACUUAAUUUGAGGCUUCUGCGAAGACUAGGUUUCAUCAAGAAAUUCUCUAAUAAGGAGCAAAAGAGACGGCUCAGAAUGAGAGCUCUUCGAAGAAUCCAGGUGUGACUCCCAACAACCACACAAGAACUGUCUUCCGAUCUUUGCUCCCGCCUCUUUAGCCCCGCGCUCUGAACGCACCGCCACUUUACAAUGCACGCUGGAGAGCCUAACCGGACACGCUUUUACGUUGUUCCUCUGCUCCGCCCCGCGAGACCUGCGCUCUCUCCCACGCCGUGAAAUUCCCCGCGAUUCCAAAGCGGGCACGGACACCGAAGCCCUAAGCACCCUUUAUGUACAUAGAUCACUCCCCACUCUAACACCACAGACAGCUCAGGUUCUCAAGAAAACACCCGGCUUCUGGACCUGCCCUCCUGCUGUCAAUUAGCAUUUCAUUUCCCUCUGUAGGCUUAUUAACAUUAACCGGUUUCAAAACUGCUUUACCGUUUGCUGUUCCUACAGCUGUGUUUAAAUGAAAUUCUCCUG
rnacentral:lncRNA from 1 species